AUGAAACACUGUGAUUCAGGAAUUUGUGGAACUAUCAAAUGGGCUCAAGAUUGGCUCACAUUUUUAGAUGCUAUGAUUGAAGUAAAUACACUCGCAAAUGUUGGAAAACUUGAUCAUGGAGCUGAACCAAUUUCAUUUCGAAGUAUUUGUCUAAUGCCAGAUAAACUAGAAAGGAAGACUAAUGGUGCGAGAAUCAAAUUUUCAAUCGAACCUAUAAUGCAUCAGUUUGGCUGUGAGGGCGUUACCAUGGAUGGAUUGAAAUUGAAGCAGAAGCAAAACCUACUCCUCAUAUUGAAAGUUUGGAAUUUGUGCCGUUUGGAAAAACUUCCUUUGAUACGCAACUAG
rnacentral:lncRNA from 1 species